rnacentral:rRNA from 1 species
UCCAGACUCCUACGGGAGGCAGCAGUGGGGGAUAUUGCACAAUGGGGGGAACCCUGAUGCAGCGACGCCGCGUGAGUGAAGAAGUAUUUCGGUAUGUAAAGCUCUCUCAGCAGGGAAGAAGAAAGACGGUACCUGAGUAAGAAGCCCCGGCUAACUACGUGCCAGCAGCCGCGGUAAUACGUAGGGGGCAAGCGUUAUCCGGAUUUACUGGGUGUAAAGGGAGCGUAGACGGUAUGGCAAGUCUGAAGUGAAAGCCCCGGGCGCAACCUGGGAACUGCUUUGGAAACUGUUAAACUAGAGUGCUGGAGAGGCAGGCGGAAUUCCUAGUGUAGCGGUGAAAUGCGUAGAUAUUAGGAGGAACACCAGUGGCGAAGGCGGCCUGCUGGACAGUAACUGACGUUGAGGCUCGAAAGCGUGGGGAGCAAACAGGAUUAGAUACCCGUGUAGG